CCUACGGGCGGCUGCAGUGGGGAAUAUUGCACAAUGGGCGCAAGCCUGAUGCAGCCAUGCCGCGUGUGUGAAGAAGGCCUUCGGGUUGUAAAGCACUUUCAGCGGGGAGGAAGGCGGUGAGGUUAAUAACCUCAUCGAUUGACGUUACCCGCAGCAGAAGCACCGGCUAACUCCGUGCCAGCAGCCGCGGUAAUACGGAGGGUGCAAGCGUUAAUCGGAAUUACUGGGCGUAAAGCGCACGCAGGCGGUCUGUCAAGUCGGAUGUGAAAUCCCCGGGCUCAACCUGGGAACUGCAUUCGAAACUGGCAGGCUAGAGUCUUGUAGAGGGGGGUAGAAUUCCAGGCGUAGCGGUGAAAUGCGUAGAGAUCUGGAGGAAUACCGGUGGCGAAGGCGGCCCCCUGGACAAAGACUGACGCUCAGGUGCGAAAGCGUGGGGAGCAAACAGGAUUAGAUACCCGGGUAGUC
rnacentral:rRNA from 1 species